rnacentral:rRNA from 1 species
CCACAUACGCAUCCUUUGCUGAGGAUACGGUUAACGGAGCGAAAGCGACGUUCAACCGCAAAAGAAGCAGAGGGGGCUUAGUGGUGGGGUGACUGCGUACCUUUUGUAUAAUGGGUCAGCGACUUAUAUUCUGUAGCAAGGUUAACCGAAUAGGGGAGCCGGAGGGAAACCGAGUCUUAACCGGGCGUUAAGUUGCAGGGUAUAGACCCGAAACCCGGUGAUCUAGCCAUGGGCAGGUUGAAGGUUGGGUAACACUAACUGGAGGACCGAACCGACUAAUGUUGAAAAAUUAGCGGAUGACCUGUGGCUGGGGGUGAAAGGCCAAUCAAACCGGGAGAUAGCUGGUUCUCCCCGAAAGCUAUUUAGGUAGCGCCUCGUGAAUUCAUCUCCGGGGGUAGAGCACUGUUUCGGCUAGGGGGCCAUCCCGGCUUACCAACCCGAUGCAAACUGCGAAUACCGGAGAAUGUUAUCACGGGAGACACACGGCGGGUGCUAACGUCCGUCGUGAAGAGGGAAACAACCCAGACCGCCAGCUAAGGUCCCAAAGUCAUGGUUAAGUGGGAAACGAUGUGGGAAGGCCCAGACAGCCAGGAUGUUGGCUUAGAAGCAGCCAUCAUUUAAAGAAAGCGUAAUAGCUCACUGGUCGAGUCGGCCUGCGCGGAAGAUGUAACGGGGCUAAACCAUGCACCGAAGCUGCGGCAGCGAACGUAUCACUUAAAGCGAUUCAGCGGGUUACGAUUGACGGAGCGAAGCGACGUCAAAGCGUAUACAAAGUCGAGUCGGUUUA